rnacentral:lncRNA from 1 species
GAAUUAUGGAGAAUAAUACAUUUGGGAAAAAAGAAUGAUCCUCAACCAUUUCUAAACAAAUGAAGAUAUUUGAAUGAUUGUAUCACAGCAGCAGUGCAAGUGAUCUGUGGCUAUUAUAAAGUGGUUGCCCUCCUUUACACAAGAUCCAAACCAAUCUCAAGAAUUAAGCAAAAGCACACAUAUGCUGUCUGAACAUGUUAGGAGAACUUGGAAUGCAGGCAACCUGCGGCCAGUAAGAUUCUAAAGGGAAGGAGUCAACAUUCAUCUUGAUGCUUUCAGUAUCGGCUGUCAUGAAGUGGCAACUAACAAGCUGGCACGCUCCUGGGGGUUGUAGGGGAUGUAAAAGCGUCUGCACAGUACCGAAGUUGAGCAACCGGUUCCAGUGUCUUUAAGCAAGGACGUUUGGAAAGGAUCUGAUGUGCAUUGCUGUUGCCUUUUGGCAGCACAUACUGUGAGCAGUGUCCUAGGAGGUGAUGCCGAAACGCCCAGCCCUGACGCUAAAGAGGAAUUGAUUUCUCAAAGUGCAGAGUCAACAGGUGCCGUAAGAGAACUGCUGACAGGAACAGGCCCUGGGACCGGGAAUUUGGGAACCUGCUACCAUUAACAGAGCUCUGCUGGGAGCGUCAUCUGCUCCCAACGUCCGCUGUUGCAAAAGGGAACAGCCAGGGGGCGCAAUUCUGCGAUUCUGAGCUAAACACCCCAAGCGCAGUAGGUACAGCCAGGGUGGGUGGCAGGGAAACCACAGGGAGGUUAAUGAGGGCUUGGACUGUGCUCUUAAUUUAUUCCUGAAUUCUCAAUACUUAGGCCACUGCCUUGGAACACGACAGCAUCUUAAUUUUUUUUUUUCAAGAAAGCAAAAAGAAUGAACAAAUGAAUGAAUUGAGACCAGACAAAAAUGCUUACUAUUUGAAUUUUCGCACCAUCUACCAGCCCAUACCCCAGGUUUUUGCAUGCUUAACUUCUUUUCUUCCUGCUAUAGUGAAUUUGAUUUCUGCCUUUUCUUUCUCCACUCUCUCCACCCACUGAGGGGAUUUCUGUUGUUGAUGAACUUGUUCUUUGGACUUUUUUGGUGGAAAAUAGUAAGAGAGGGAUGAAAUCGAGAGAUUAGCUAGUAGGUGAGAAGGGGAGGGAGCUUGAUUUAUUGGUGCUUCGCUGGUACUUGUCUUAAGUGCAAUUCCCUCCACUCUUCAUGGACUGUCCCCACCUCCCUAUCAGAAUCCUCUGGGAACUCAAUGCUGAUUCCUUGGCCAAGCCUAGAUCUCUCUGGGAGUUGCCCCACCUCUUGUCAUAUAUUUGCAUAGUAAUAAAUGAUGAGUGCUGGAGUAAGAGCUUAAAAGCAUAGAGAUAAUGUUGUGCUACAGGAUAGAAGCCUUUUGAGGGUCAGUUUGAGGAGAGAGCCACUGGAGCCAUGGUGGGGUGGGAGUAGUGGGAAGUGGCUUGAAGAAGUGUUAAUGUAUGUUAGGGUCCAUUUAAGGUUCUUAGAGAAAUUCCAAAAACAGUAGAAUUCCCCCUGGCUGUGCUUCUUGAACACGCGGCUGUUAGGAUACUGAGCCGUAUUAACCUCUGGGUUUACAAGCCUUACACUUCUUACAUUUCUUCUUUACAUUUCUUGCACAGUAAGAAAUGAAGGAACAAAAGGAAUAAAUGAAUGAUAAUGUAUCUGGUCGUCUCUUACAUUCUAGUGAGUCACCCUCGACAUAAGAAGAAAAGUGGAGACUGUUAGAUUUAUUUCCUGAGAGAGAGAAUAAUUUUCUAGUAGGUCACUGAACCCCGAGGAAGCCUAGAGCGCAAGAAACUUUGGGAGAGAUUCAAGCCAGUGGCUACAAUCUUGAAUUACAACCCAGCCCUUCCUUCCAACAAAGGGUAUGCAUAGGGAAAGAGAUAUAUCAAACUUUUUAGCCAAACUUUUAAAGAAAAGCUGAACAAUAGAAUGGCUAAAGUGAAAAAAUACAAAAGGACACUUAAAAAUAUAUAUUUUUAAAUUAUGUCUUGAAACUUCCCUGCCAGGA